rnacentral:rRNA from 1 species
UACGUAGGGUGCGAGCGUUGUCCGGAAUUACUGGGCGUAAAGAGCUCGUAGGCGGUUUGUCGCGUCGUCCGUGAAAACUUGGGGCUCAACCCCAAGCUUGCGGGCGAUACGGGCAGACUUGAGUACUGCAGGGAGGACUGGAAUUCCUGGUGUAGCGGUGAAAUGCGCAGAUAUCAGGAGGAACACCGGUGGCGAAGGCGGGUCUCUGGGCAGUAACUGACGCUGAGGAGCGAAAGCGUGGGGAGCGAACAGG